GGGGAAUAUUGGACAAUGGGCGAAAGCCUGAUCCAGCAAUGCCGCGUGAGUGAUGAAGGCCUUAGGGUUGUAAAGCUCUUUUACCCGGGAUGAUAAUGACAGUACCGGGAGAAUAAGCUCCGGCUAACUCCGUGCCAGCAGCCGCGGUAAUACGGAGGGAGCUAGCGUUGUUCGGAAUUACUGGGCGUAAAGCGCACGUAGGCGGCUUUGUAAGUUAGAGGUGAAAGCCUGGGGCUCAACCCCAGAAUUGCCUUUGAUACUGCAUGGCUUGAAUCCAGGAGAGGUGAGUGGAAUUCCGAGUGUAGAGGUGAAAUUCGUAGAUAUUCGGAAGAACACCAGUGGCGAAGGCGGCUCACUGGUCCAUUACUGACGCUGAGGUGCGAAAGCGUGGGGAGCAAA
rnacentral:rRNA from 1 species